rfam:Lactobacillus pontis DSM 8475 NODE_161, whole genome shotgun sequence.
AAACAAUGAAGAGGUUGCAUUUUUUAUCAGUAUCCCGUAAUAGGUGAAUAAGCACCGGACGGCGGGUGAAAGGGAGAAAUGCCGAAACAGGGUCCGGCUUAUUCUGGCACGCUGUUGGGCCAUGGCUGAACAAGUCAUGGACUGUCGCAAGAAAUGCGGGGCGCUUCCGGAAAA